AUUGAACGCUGGCGGCAGGCUUAACACAUGCAAGUCGAGCGGUAGCACAGGGGGGCUUGCUCCCUGGGUUACGCGCGGCGCAGGGGUGUGACAUGUCUGUGAAACUGCCUGAUGGCGGGGGAUACCUACUGGAAACGGUAGCUAAUACCGCAUAACGUCGCAAGCCCAAAGAGGAGGACCGUCGGACCUCCUGCCUUUCGCUGUGCCCGGGUUGGAUUAGCUAGUAGGUGGGGUAAUGGCUCACCAAGGCCACGAUCCACAGCUGGUCUGAGAGGGUGACCAGCCACACUGGAACUGAGACACGGUCCAGACUCCUACGGGAGGCAGCAGUGGGGAAUCUUGCGCAAUGGGCGCAAGCCUGAUGCAGCCACGCCGCGUGUGUGAAGAAGGUCUUCGGGUUGUAAAGCUCUGUCAGUGGGGAGGAAGGUGUUGGGCUUAAUACGUUCAUAAAUUGACGGUACUCGCAGAGAAAGCACCGGCUAACUCCGUG
rnacentral:rRNA from 1 species